rnacentral:tRNA from 1 species
GGUCUUGUAGUUUAUUCAAAACAUAAAGUUGCAAACUUUAGGAAACAUAUUAUAUUGUCGGGACUU